rnacentral:rRNA from 1 species
UACGUAGGGGGCAAGCGUUGUCCGGAUUCAUUGGGCGUAAAGAGCUCGUAGGCGGCUUGGCAAGUCGGGUGUGAAAACUCCAGGCUCAACCUGGAGACGCCACCCGAUACUGCCAUGGCUAGAGUCCGGUAGGGGACCACGGAAUUCCUGGUGUAGCGGUGAAAUGCGCAGAUAUCAGGAGGAACACCGGUGGCGAAGGCGGGUCUCUGGGCCUUAACUGACGCUGAGGAGCGAAAGCAUGGGGAGCGAACAGG